rnacentral:lncRNA from 1 species
AGCAUAUUGCUCCGAGGUACUUUUAUCACCACAAGUUCUAUAAGAGGAGGGAAAUAAACAUUCGGCAAUUAAACAAGGUCAUGCGAGAACCUCACAGAUCAUUUGCAAAACUCUACCCGCAUAUAGCUUCCAUAGGUGCAUCUAUGGAAUUGGUAUGAGGUGGCUUAGACAGUUGCAGGAUUUAGGGGGAGGCCAUCGCCAAAGGCAUAAUCCAUGAUUGUGGUCCUAGAAAUCACGAGUUGGCUCUGAAGACCAACCCGAACAUCAACAGUUGUACUCUUUUUUUCCUUGAUGAGUUUUUCCCACUGGGUUUUCUCAUGCAAGGUAUUUAAUGAGGCAGUAGGUGUAGCAUAAGUGAUGCAUGUGAUGUACUCUUUUCUCCUACCCUUUUUUGCCAGUGGGUUUUUGGGGGAAGUUUUGAACGAGGCAUACACAUAGAAUAAAUUGGCCAAUGGGGAGUGUUGUGAAAUCAAAGUUAACAUUCAAUAUGAACAUAAGACUUUGAUGGUGGCCAAUUCAUGAGAGGGAAGUUUCUAGGAAAUUACUUGGGAGACUAUAGCAUUAGUCUCUCCUCCUCUAUAAAAGGAGAUGAUGGUGAGCUGAAGAAGAUGUACAUGUAUAGAACAUAUGCAAUGAAAUAAAGAGCUCCCUUCCCUCUCUACUAUGUUCAUUUGUGUGAGUGUGUGUGCUGAGAACAUGUAUAGAACGUAUCCAAUGAAAUAAAGAGCUCCCUUGCCUCUCUACUCAUGCAUUGUGGAUUCC